GCGCUUUGCGCCGGGCGCGAACCGACCUAUAUCGGCUUUGUCCGGCUUGACCGGACUAUGGUGAUAAACGCGCGGAGAUAGGCGGAUCGGACCCGGGUGCGAUGCCCGGCGGCUCCACCAGUUUCACCCUCGUUGGGGGUAGUCUGGGGCCGAAAUAGGAUCGACGGACGUUGAAUGCCGAAGCUUUUGCUCGGGUGGUCCCGUUACAGGCCAAACAGCAUAGUUGCCAACGACAACAACGCUGAGGAAUUCGCCCUCGCUGCGUAAGCAGUGCGGAGUUUUCCGAACCUAAGUCCUACCGAGUAGCAUCGCUAGGCGGGGCCCCCCGGCGCCCGGCAACAGAAGCCGGGGAUU
rnacentral:tmRNA from 1 species